CUACUUUCAAUGAACCUUAAGGUCCAUCCUUGACCAACUUAAAAUCCGAUCCAGAUUAAUACGACUUAGACAAAAGUGGACAGAUAAGUUUUACUCAAUUUUGAAGAACAUAUUCUCUUAUGAGGCAGAAUUAUAUUGUUCUAUUUAGGAGAGACAUCAAUAUAUAAUAACAAGGUCAUGCAUUCAUGUACCACAAGAGAUAA
rnacentral:lncRNA from 1 species